UACGGAGGGGGCAAGCGUUGUUCGGAUUUACUGGGCGUAAAGGAUGUGUAGGCGGCUGGGCAAGUCUGGUGUGAAAUCUUCACCGCUUAACGGGAAGAGGUCACCGGAAACUGCCUAGCUCGAGUAUGGUAGAGGCAAGCGGAAUUCCUGGUGUAGCGGUGGAAUGUGUAGAUAUCAGGAAGAACACCGGUGGCGAAGGCGGCUUGCUGGGCCAUUACUGACGCUGAGACACGAAAGCGUGGGGAGCAAACGGG
rnacentral:rRNA from 1 species